CGCAUCACGUGGCGGCGCGGACGUUUGUGCCGCGCGCCCGCCAGACCGCCCAGGAGGCGGUGGCUAUUGUUCCCCGCAGGGGCCCGGGGCGCCCUGAAACGGGGUCCACGUCAGCCCGCUCCCGAGCGUGUCCUCAGAUCUGGGGACCCUUCACCUGCCUCUACUACUGCAAAUGAUUGGAUAUUCGUCUGCCUUGGCUCUUCCCUAAUGUGUGGAACUAAUUUUGUUCACUCUGUUUCAUGCUGGACCUGGCCUGAAAAUGGGCCCUUAUAUUGUCUUUGCACUUUCCAACUUGCCAAGUUUCUGAAAGAAGGACCAAAGUAAUGCCAAGAACUCCCAGAUGAAGAGGACCUUCCUUAGACCUAUAACAGACUCACUACUUGACUUCAGAGGGAAGUUUCAGCUAAUUCUCAGGAAAAGGUCAAAACAGGCCUGUGACUGCCCCUUGAAUACUGAAGGUAUAAACAAGCUUCUGGCUCCUCCAGGUCAAGCAGAGGAACACUUUUAUUAGAAUGAAGGGUUACUUCUUUGUUAUUCAAACACACACCCACACACAUCCUCUGUAGUCUCCCUAAUGAAAAACCUCAACAGAUGGAGAGCCUGAGCUCCCAAGUCUGCAGGCUGAGAAGAUGCACUUCACUCAAGGGCCAGUGGGCUGGUACAGACUAGGGAAGAGAAAAGGGACAAAGGCUGCUAAUAUAGGUAAUCACUAUCUUUUAAUACUCCUAACACAUAGAAAUUCGAAAAAUCUUGUUCAGCAAUGUUAGCAGCCUCUGAGCCUCAGAAACUAAUUUGGCUGAUGUGUCUCUGAUAGGGAGCUUGGGGCUGCACCAAGGGGAAACAUUCUCCUCCUGUAUUCUCUCCUCUCUCUCGUUUGAAAGCCUGUACAAAGAAAUGGUACAAAUGGAUGGUUAACUUAAUGAUUCCAUCAGAGGCAGAUUUUUCUCUGUCAGGUCCCUGGAUAAGGUGGAGGUCUGAAAGCCAGGAGAUAGAAUAUGUACUUAAUCGCCCUUUCUGACCUGCUUACCAGUGACCAGGACUACUCUCCAGGCCUUUCUUCUGCCACUUCCCCAUUCUUCCUGGCUAGUUCAGUUGGGUCUCAGCACUUCAACUCCUGGCUGGAUCCUGAGUUUUUCUUGGUUGCAGGGAAAGCUCUCACUGUCUGCAUCUCCUUCCCAACCCCCACCUCCUGUUUUGCAGCUGGCCAUUCUGGCUGCCUCACAGCUAUCCUGCCUUAAUUCAUAUUUGAUUGCCUGGACAGAACCACCAAGAAUGUCCAGACGACUGCCACCCCUCAGCCAUGGGCCUGAGAUCCUGCCUUGACCCCUUUCUUCAGACCCCAGGAGGACCCACAAUCUCCCUGAUCCCCACCUUCCCCAAAGUGGUCUCUAUAGGAAAAAAGCAGAGCUGGCUAAGGCCUGAGACAGAGCCAUUUCUUCCCCUUGGGCAAACGAGGUAGACCCUCCCAGAGACCAAUGCCGGAGAGGCCCGGAUCCGAGCUCCCUUUAUAUGGCCUCCCCCAUCACGGAUCCCGUGGGAAAACCUGACACACAAUGGCGCGGCUGCUCCGGGCACCCUCAACCCAGCGCCCUGCGGCAAGGCCUGGAGCAGCCUCGUGGUCUUGGUGCGCUCCCUUUGCCCUCCCCGCAACCCUCUGCGAGCACUCGUCCCGGGAGAGAGACCCUGGCUAGGGUGGAGGUUGCCUCCCGCAAAGGGCGCUGUUGCUGGGGCCUCCCCUCCCCCAUUCUCUUGUUUUUCUGCUUCUGAGACUCGGGAGGGAGGCGGCAGGCGCCUCCGCAGCCGAUAGAGCAGCUAUUGUGACCUUCCCUUGCAGAGCGGGAACCCAGCCGAGUGUGUACCGCCGGCGGUGGCGGGGGAGGAGGCGACUGUGUGUGCAAACCUCAGUCGGAGAGGGGGUGGCGCUGGGAAAUAAAGGUUUGCAACCUCA